rnacentral:rRNA from 2 species
AGAGUUUGAUCCUGGCUCAGAACGUACGCUGGCGGCACGCCUAAUACAUGCAAGUCGAACGAAGUAGCAAUACUUAGUGGCAGACGGGUGAGUAACAUGUAGGUAUCUACCCUUUGGCCUGGAAUAACACGAGGAAACUUGUGCUAAUACCGGAUAAGUCUUUACGGAGAAAGCUUUAUGCACCAUUGGAUGAGCCUGCACUUGAUUAGUUUGUUGGUGGGGUAAUGGCCUACCAAGACAAUGGUCAAUAGCUGAUUUGAGAGGAUGAUCAGCCACAUUGGGACUGAGACACGGCCCAAACUCCUACGGGAGGCAGCAGUAGGGAAUCUUGCACAAUGGAGGAAACUCUGAUGCAGCGAUGCCGCGUGAGUGAAGAAGGCCUUUGGGUUGUAAAGCUCUUUCGUCGGGGAAGAAAAUGACUGUACCCGAAUAAGAAGGUCCGGCUAACUUCGUGCCAGCAGCCGCGGUAAUACGAAGGGACCUAGCGUAGUUCGGAAUUACUGGGCUUAAAGAGUUCGUAGGUGGUUAAAAAAGUUGGUGGUGAAAUCCCAGAGCUUAACUCUGGAACUGCCAUCAAAACUUUUUAGCUAGAGUAUGAUAGAGGAAAGCAGAAUUUCUAGUGUAGAGGUGAAAUUCGUAGAUAUUAGAAAGAAUACCGAUUGCGAAGGCAGCUUUCUGGAUCAUUACUGACACUGAGGAACGAAAGCAUGGGUAGCGAAGAGGAUUAGAUACCCUCGUAGUCCAUGCCGUAAACGAUGUGUGUUAGACGUUGGAAAUUUAUUUUCAGUGUCGCAGCGAAAGCGAUAAACACACCGCCUGGGGAGUACGACCGCAAGGUUAAAACUCAAAUGAAUUGACGGGGACCCGCACAAGUAGUGGAGCAUGUGGUUUAAUUCGAAGAUACGCGCAGAACCUUACCAACACUUGACAUGUUCGUCGCGACUCUAAGAGAUUAGAGUUUUCGGUUCGGCCGGACGAAACACAGGUGCUGCAUGGCUGUCGUCAGCUCGUGUCGUGAGAUGUUGGGUUAAGUCCCGCAACGAGCGCAACCCUCACUUUUAGUUGCCAUCAUUUAGUUGGGCACUCUGAAAGAACUGCCAGUGAUAAGCUGGAGGAAGGUGGGGAUGACGUCAAGUCCUCAUGGCCCUUACGUGUUGGGCUACACACGUGCUACAAUGGCAUUUACAAUAGGAAGCAAGGUGGCGACAUCAAGCAAAUCCUAAAAAAAUGCCUCAGUUCGGAUUGUACUCUGCAACUCGAGUACAUGAAGCUGGAAUUACUAGUAAUCGCGGAUCAGCGCGCCGCGGUGAAUACGUUCCCGGGUCUUGUACACACCGCCCGUCACACCAUGGGAGUUGGUUCUACCUUAAGGCAAAGCUUAAAACCUUUGACCACGGUAUAGUCAGCGACUGGGGUGAAGUCGUAACAAGGUAACC